rnacentral:lncRNA from 1 species
CAUCAUUGCCCUGAUUUACAGUUAUUUGAUAAAUGGGAAUGAAACUUCUUAGGAUAUUUUCACCAUGAUUUAAACAGCUAAUUGUGAGCUUUCAGGGCAGCAAAUCUGAAAUUAGAGAUUCCUGUGUCUUUCCUUCUUCACCAGCUUUCUGUCUGGAUGUGAAUGUUAACCCACAUGGUCCUACCUCUUGAACCAUAGGGAGGUAGUAGCUGUAUGGUGAGGACGUCACUCAUGAAACAACAGCUUUUUUUGUGUCACACAUUCUUUCAUAAUUACAACUGCUGUUGCUAGCAUUGAAGAUCUGUUCUCUGCUGCUGAGCUAGAAUUAUCUGCAAACAUUUCACUGUGAAAUCUGUAAUCUUAUAGACUUGCAAGUACUUCCAUAUAUUGUAACUGGCUUGAGGGGACUGAGGAAUAGCUUUUUUGUGUGUGUGUGUGUGACAUAUACUAUGAAGAAAAUAUAUUCACAAUGUACUGCUGCUCCUGUAUCAAAACGUUACUAAAUAGAGUGACACUUGAAACAUGGUAGUUUGUAGUUACUCAGUACUAUGCAUAUGUACAUACUCACCCAGUUGUGUAAAUAAUCACAGAAUCACAGAAUUGUAGGGGUUGGAAGGGACCUCUAGAGAUCAUCGAGUCCAACCCCCCAUGCCAAAGCAGUUUCCCUACACCACGUCACACAGGUAGGCGUCCAGGCAGGUCUUGAAUAUCUCCAGAGAAGGAGACUACACCACCCCCCUGGGCAGCCUGUUCCAGUUUAGAAUCAACUGGUAUUCUAACAUCUUCCUACAACACUGAAAUCCCAGUUAUCUAAAGUGAAACAUUCUAAGCAUUUCUCGAAGUAGUGGUUGCAUGAGGCAAGGAAAGAGGAUGAGCAGACUCUGAAGUAUGAGAGAACAAAGCAGUGCACCCACAACCAUCACCAGGCACAUGGGAAAGCUAGAAAUAGACUAAAUAUUUCUGGAGUACUAGUGCAGCACUCUGCUCAUUAGCAAGGCAGUCUACUUUCCCAUCAGGCAUCUCACAAUUACCCCAUGACUGCUGUUUGGUUUUAACUCCUCCCUUGGAUAGGUCACGAGGACAAGUGACUUGGGUUGUGCCAAGACCUGAAAUGGGAGACUGGUGUAAAUGGCAGAUAGCCAGAAGCAAGGAGACAUCUGGGAUAAGACAAGGCGCUAAGAGCAGUCCCACCUUUCAACUGGAGGACCUCCCCAAACUGGAGUCCACUGGGCAAUGAGGACACAGACACUGCCUGCUCCUGGAGAUGGCACUUGGAAGAGCUCCUCAGUUCUGUAGCCUAGAUGACUCCUCUGCUACUCUCUGUGUGCAGUGUCUGGAACAAUGGCAUUUUUCUUAACUGUUCUUGCUUGGCCCCUUGGCAAUCUUGUAAUUUAAGUAAAUAAUUUUCUAAGAACAUAUGCCUGGCUGCCAUUUACAGGAUAAACACUACUCAUGAACAAUCAACAUUUCU